ensembl:lncRNA
AAAGAAAAGAAAAGCUGCCACCAACCGAACCGUCUGUGGAAAAGAGCGGUUCCUUCCAACUGAGCCACUGCAGAUGAAAGCAGCAUCGCCUUGCUGCCCAGCUCCUUCCCAGCCACCUGUAAGAGAAUGAGGCUCCCUGCUGCACGGCCAGCGCCGUGCUUUACUCUUAAGGCCACAGAGGAAAGCAAACGAUGCUCGCGGAUGCCACCUGUGAGGUGCACGUAAUUGCAUUGCGCAGUGCUGCAAGGAGCUCGCGUGGAACAGCAGCUCUCCCUGCCCGCUGCUGGGGGCAGUCCUGGCUGCGUUGUUUGCACAAGUGCUGUUUGUGUGUUUUUGCUCCCAGUCAGUGCUUUCAUUGGCUGUGCUGCAGUGCUCUCUGCUGGCACCAGCCGGGGAUUUCCUGCCAUGUCACAGCCGAGCUGUGUUUGCUUUCUGAGCUUGUAUUUACCAUUAGGGUGUCACGUCUCCGUCUGCCUCUCUGUCUGAGAUGUGCUGAUGCCUCCUGUUUGCCCUCUCGAUGACGAUAUUCGGAGACAUUAAUUUUCUCCCUUCUUCACGGAACCAGCGGUGUUUCAGACCCCCUCUCAGCAGAGGACAACUGAACCAAACCCCACCAGCUCCUUUUUCCCAAGGCAGAGCUCCGUAACGCUGCCCACUCAGCACACCCAGCACUGAGAUCUCAGCAGAUGCGAUGCCCUCCCCAGGAUCCCGCUGCUCCUCCUGGCCCCUCCAUGCACUGCCUGUGCUCAGUGCAGGGCUGGGGCUGACGGUGCCCUCCCUGCCCCCCCUACCACACUGCUCUGCUGCAUUCCACCUCCUCACUUCUGAUUCACGCCAUUAAAACCAAGAUUGGUGCUGACUCGGAGCACCUUUGGUUAAUAACUGCUAUUUUAACGUGAGCCCGUGGAGAGCUCAGCACAAGGCCCUGUUUUGUGUCCUAGAUUUCCAGCAGGCAAGGUCAGCAUUCGCCAUCUCGAUGGCUUUCUCUGCAGAGCACACACAGGGAUUUGUUCCCUCUCCCUCCCUCCGGUUGUUGGUGCUUUUCUCAGUGGUUCUGAAGGCCAAACCCUGAGUGCUGACUUUGCACUGCACCCACUGCUCUGCUUUCCAUGUUCUCAGGCAAGCUUCUUCCAUCUUCCUGCCGUUGUCCUGCUAUGGCUGUGCUCCUUCUGUAGGAUCUGUAAGACAUUGGCAGCAGGCGCUGCAGGAGCAGAACAAGGAGUCCUCACCCACUCCAAGUGGGUUUAUCACAGCUGUCUCAUUUCAGUACAGCUCAUAGCAGCACCCAAACUCCGAGGACUGGAGUGCAGUGAAUGCUUCCCUUUUGUUCUCAUUAUCUCUGCCUUAAACUUCUCUCAAGGCAAUCGCAUUAUCCUGCAUAACGUCGCCUUUAAUUUCACUUCCCCUUCAUCACCCUGUGACCAGCUGCGCAGUGCCCAUUGCGCUCACAUUGCCCAGCAAACAGCCCAGGGAUGGGGCAGGGACCCCAGCAAC